GAAGAAGUGGGAGAAUGGGAGGGGACCAAAGGAGGGGACAACUGCGUGGGCUGGCCGGUGUUCGGUUUCACCACUGAACACGUGACCGCAAUGGCUGCUACUUUCCUCUGAGCAGCGCAUCAUUCUGCUGCCACUCCGCGCGAAAACGCAUCAGCUGUCUCGCGUUGCCGGCUGCCAGCACUGGGCGAUUCUGCUCGCGAAAAGAAGCGCCGUGUUCCUCGUUCUCCCUCCGCUCUCAUCCGGACGACACUCGACCUUGAAGAAGGAGAUCUCCGUGAUCAAAAUAGCUCCGGGUUGAACUUCCACCAACCAACACGUCGGUAGGAGGAGUCAACAGAAGGCCGUGUGACCUGCAUAAGCUGGCCAGUGCAAACAGUGGGAAAUAAGCUCUGACAAGAUCCGCCGGGGAAAACAUCGACACACUCUCACUGGAGAAGAACCGUCGCCGUGACUCACAGUGACAGGGUGAAGCCGGGAGCACCAUGUGACCUCUGAGGCCCCACCCACUGUUGCUCACUCGUCCUCAGUCACUUCCUGCCUGGCCUCUCCCCCCCGGUGGCGUAAGAGCACGCCGUGUCCACUAAACUCAGUGCUCUCCUCCACCAUCUGGACAGAGACGCACAGAGGGAGGAACUCUCAGACACGGGGUUGUCAAGGAGG
ensembl:lncRNA